GACGAACGCUGGCGGCGUGCUUAACACAUGCAAGUCGAACGAUGAACCCGGAGCUUGCUCCGGCGGAUUAGUGGCGAACGGGUGAGUAACACGUGAGUAACCUGCCCUUGACUCUGGGAUAACUGCUAGAAAUGGUAGCUAAUACCGGAUACGACCCUCGGUGGCAUCACCAGGGGGUGGAAAGAAGUUCGGUCAAGGAUGGACUCGCGGCCUAUCAGCUAGUUGGUGAUGUAACGGCUCACCAAGGCGACGACGGGUAGCCGGCCUGAGAGGGUGACCGGCCACACUGGGACGGAGACACGGCCCAGACUCCUACGGGAGGCAGCAGUGGGGAAUAUUGCACAAUGGGCGCAAGCCUGAUGCAGCAACGCCGCGUGAGGGAUGACGGCCUUCGGGUUGUAAACCUCUUUUAGUAGGGAAGAAGUUUAUUGACGGUACCUCAUGAAUAAGGGCCUGCAAAACUCGUGCCAGCAGCCGCGGUAA
rnacentral:rRNA from 1 species